UACGGGGGGGGCAAGCGUUGUUCGGAAUUACUGGGCGUAAAGGGCGCGUAGGCGGCCUGCUAAGUCGGACGUGAAAUCCCUCGGCUCAACCGAGGAACUGCGUCCGAUACUGGUGGGCUUGAAUCCGGGAGAGGGAUGUGGAAUUCCAGGUGUAGCGGUGAAAUGCGUAGAUAUCUGGAGGAGCACCGGUGGCGAAGGCGGCAUCCUGGACCGGUAUUGACGCUGAGGCGCGAAAGCUAGGGUAGCAAACGGG
rnacentral:rRNA from 1 species